rnacentral:rRNA from 1 species
UACGAAGGGGGCUAGCGUUGUUCGGAAUCACUGGGCGUAAAGCGCACGUAGGCGGAUCUUUUAAGUCAGGGGUGAAAUCCCGGGGCUCAACCUCGGAACUGCCUUUGAUACUGGGGAUCUCGAGUCCGGGAGAGGUGAGUGGAACUCGAGUGUAGAGGUGAAAUUCGUAGAUAUUCGGAAGAACACCAGUGGCGAAGGCGACUCACUGGCCCGAUACUGACGCUGAGGCGCGAAAGCGUGGGGGAGCAAACAGGG